rnacentral:rRNA from 1 species
AAUCAACGCUGGCGGCGUGCCUAACACAUGCAAGUCGAACGCGAAAACCCCGCAAGGGGUUAGUAGAGUGGCAAACGGGUGAGUAACACGUGGGUGACCUGCCUUCGAGUGGGGGAUAACGUCCCGAAAGGGACGCUAAUACCGCAUGACAUCCUGCUUUUGGAAAAGCGGAGAUCAAAGCUGGGGAUUCGCAAGAACCUGGCGCUUGAAGAGGGGCCCGCGCCUGAUUAGCUAGUUGGUAGGAACGGCCUACCAAGGCGACGAUCAGUAUCCGGCCUGAGAGGGCGGACGGACACACUGGGACUGAGACACGGCCCAGACUCCUACGGGAGGCAGCAGUGGGGAAUUGUUCGCAAUGGGCGAAAGCCUGACGACGCAACGCCGCGUGGA